rnacentral:rRNA from 1 species
AUUGAACGCUGGCGGCAGGCCUAACACAUGCAAGUCGAACGAGUGGCGGACGGGUGAGUACUGUCUGGGAAACUGCCUGAUGGAGGGGGAUAACUACUGGAAACGGUAGCUAAUACCGCAUACCAUCGGAUGUGCCCAGAUGGGAUUAGCUAGUAGGUGGGGUACCGGCUCACCUAGGCGACGAUCCCUAGCUGGUCUGAGAGGAUGACCAGCCACACGGGAACUGAGACACGGUCUAGACUCCUACGGGAGGCAGCAGUGGGGAAUAUUGCCCAAUGGGCGCAAGCCUGAUGCAGCCAUGCCGCGUGUAUGAAGAAGGCCUUCGGGUUGUAAAGUACUUUCAGCGGGGAGGCGUUACCCUCAGAAGAAGCACCGGCUAACUCCGUGCCAGCAGCCGCGGUAAUUC